rnacentral:lncRNA from 1 species
AUGCCCGAUGGGUCAGAUCCAAAGUCUCUUGAAGUCAAUGGAAAAACUCUCAUUGACUCAAGUGGGCUUUGGAUCAAACCCUAUUUGUUUAUCUGCCCUUCUGUGUUAACCUUUUAUGUUUCUCAUCUUUCACUAUCAAUAUCCCUUGCUAGAGGCGAUCUUGGCAGGACUAAAAACACAGUGAAAAUUAAUAAGGUAACCACAUUAUUCAUCACAGCCAAAAAAAAAAAAAAAAAAAAAAAAAAAAAAAAAAAAAAAAAAAAAAAAAAAAAAAAAAAAAAAAAAAACCCCCCCCCACAAAAAAAAAAAAAAAAAAAAAAAACACAAAAAACACAAAAAGCAAAGAUCUCAAUUUGCAAACCAUUACACAAGUACUUAAAAUUUAAAACUAAUGUGUACAUGGAAACUUUUAUGGUUUUAUAUUUUACAUUGUUUCAGAGUCUUGAAGCCUCUAAAGUGAGUUUAGUAAAUAUGGGUCUCAAGUCAGCAAAGCUGUAA